rnacentral:misc_RNA from 1 species
AACUUUCAGCAAUGGAUCUCUUGGCUCUCGCAUCGAUGAAGAACGCAGCGAAAUGCGAUAAGUAAUGUGAAUUGCAGAAUUCAGCGAAUCAUCGAAUUUUUGAACGCACCUUGCGCUCCCUGGUAUUCCGGGGAGCACGCCUGUUCGAGUGUCGUGAAAAUCUCAAACCGGGAUGCUUUCUUUUGUUUCUCGGCUUGGUGUUGGGCGUUGCAGUUCCUUUGGUUGGGAUGGCUGGCCUCAACGGGAUUAGCAGGCGUUUAGUGUGGCUUUGGUUCUACUCAGCGCUAUCAUGCUCUGCCCGCCGAGGGCAGCUUGCGAGAUGGUCACUUGUCGUUUGGGCUGCUUCUAAAUGGGGUUGGGUACUUUCUGACUCUGCCCACAUUUUCAGCUUUUGCCCUAGAUUUAGGUUGGACUACCGGCUGAAUUUAAGCUUAUCAAUAAGGGGUGGCU